UCCCUGGUGGUCCAGUGGGUAAGACUUUGUGCUCCUGAUGGAGGGGGCCCAGGUUCGAUCCCUGGUUGGGGAA